AGAGUUGAUCAUGGCUCAGAACGAACGCUGGCGGCAGGCCUAAAACAUGCAAGUUGAACGGUUACAGCAAUGUAGCAGUAGCGGACGGGUGAGGAACAUAUGGGAACAUGCCUUUUGGUGUGGAAUAACAUCUGGAAACGGGUGAUAAUACCGCAUAAGCCCUGCGGGGGAAAGAUUUAUUGCCGAGAGAGUGGCCCAUAUCAGAUUAGCUAGUUGGUUAGGUAACGGCUGACCAAGGCGACGAUCUGUAGCCGGUUUGAGAGGAUGAUCGGCCACACUGGGACUGAGACACGGCCCAGACUCCUACGGGAGGCAGCAGUUAGGAAUAUUGGACAAUGGGGGAAACCUUGAUCCAGCCAAUGCCGCGUGAGUGAAGAAGGCCUUCGGGUUGUAAAGCUCUUUUGUAUGGGAAAAUGAUGAUGGUACCAUAAGAAUAAGCACCGGCAAACUUCGUGCCAGCAGCUGC
rnacentral:rRNA from 1 species